UACGUAGGGUGCGAGCGUUGUCCGGAAUUAUUGGGCGUAAAGAGCUUGUAGGCGGUCUGUCGCGUCUGCCGUGAAAUUUCGGGGCUCAACCCCGGACUUGCGGUGGGUACGGGCAGGCUAGAGUGUGGUAGGGGAGACUGGAAUUCCUGGUGUAGCGGUGAAAUGCGCAGAUAUCAGGAGGAACACCGAUGGCGAAGGCAGGUCUCUGGGCCACUACUGACGCUGAGAAGCGAAAGCAUGGGGAGCGAACAGG
rnacentral:rRNA from 1 species